GACGAACGCUGGCGGCGUGCUUAACACAUGCAAGUCGAACGGAAAGGCCAUGCUUUUGUGGGGUGCUCGAGUGGCGAACGGGUGAGUAACACGUGAGUAAACUGCCCUUGAAUUUGGGAUAACUUCUGGAAACUGGGGCUAAUACCGGAUAGGAGCUCUUGCUGCAUGGUGGGGGUUGGAAAGUUUCGGCGGUUGUGGAUGGACUCGCGGCUUAUCAGCUUGUUGGUGGGGUAGUGGAUUACAAAGGCUGUGACGGGUAGCCGGCCUGGGAGGGUGACCGGCCACAUUGGGCCUGAGAUACGGCCCAGACUCCAACGGGAGGCAGCAGUGGGGAAUAUUGCACAAUGGGCGGAAGCGUGAUGCAGCAACGCCGCGUGCGGGAUGACGGCCUUCGGGCUGUAAACCGCUUUCGCCUGUGACGAAGCGUGAGUGACGGUAAUGGGUAAAGAAGCACCGGCUAACUACGUG
rnacentral:rRNA from 1 species